rnacentral:tRNA from 1 species
GAUAUAGUGGCGCAGCGGUCUAAGGCACUGCAUCUCAGUGCAAAGAAUUUCACUACAGUCCCUGGUUCGAAUCCAGGCUGUAUCA